UGGUGUGCAAGUCAGAGCCUGGAGCCAGCUGAGCGCUCCUCCUCUCCCAGGAGAAACGCCACGCCACGGCCAGCUGGAAACCAUUGACAGGAGUUUGGGGUUAGUGAGCAAGAGAGGAGAGGGGCUCGGCGGAGGAGAUCACGGGGCCUGCCUGUCUCGAUGAAUCCGCUUUCCACAACCAAAGUAAGACCAGAAACCAAGGGGGGAGAAGAACAAAAGUAUUAACGACAUCAACAGGAUCAGAGAUGUCCCCUCCGAGCAGCAGAUGAUGACACCGGGGAGGGACCUCUCGGACUUUCCUUUGCCUAACUUGGUCAUGGAGACCAGCACCACCAGCAGCAGCCUUGUGCAGCUCUCAGAAGGAUGAAGACGACUAACACACCUCAGCAGCGAGGAAAACAUCUGGGCCAGGGUUUCAGCGCCCUGCACUCCUUCCCACAAUGCCCUCAUUCCUUUAUAUAAUCAUUAAAUCACUGACGGAUGUGAGAGAGGAGCAGUGGGGGGCUGGGAAAGAAAAGAGAGGAAGACGAAGACAGUAAAAAAAAUAAACAGGAAGGUGCAAGGUGUUAUUCUGGCAUUGCAGACGCAGUGCGUCAGCAAGCACAAGUCUGACCUGCUGAUAAUGACGUGAGGUGUUGUAAAAGGCAGAUGUUGCUUGGACAUCACAAAUAUGGUCUGUUAUGACCGUGUGUCUCCAUGUGUUUGUGCUUCAUAAUUAAAACAUUUACAGACUGUGA